CCUGCUCAGCCAGCUCCUGAUGGACAACACAUGUAGGAAGAAGUUGUUCCCACUGAAGCAGGAGAGCAAGGAGGUACAUCUUGAUUGUGCACUGAACCAGAAAUAUUUGGUUGACUUCAACAAGAAAGAUAAAGACCAGCAACGUCCAGACCCAGCAUCAUCUGGUCUCAGAAAGUACAAGAGAGCUGGAAUUGGACACACCCCAGUAAGAGAGCUUCCUGAAGAAUAAGUUGCUUUCUCAGGAGUCCCUGAUGACAAACAUCCUGAAUGAAAACACCACUUGAGAGACAGCUUGGGGGACCGCCUUUCAUUAUGUGUGCUAGAGGAGAAACAGC
ensembl:lncRNA